rnacentral:lncRNA from 1 species
CUCUAAUCCCUGACCCAAGGCCACAUGGGGAAACACAACACAUUCAACCUCUCCAGGGGAGCACACAGGCGGGGAUUGCAUGCUUUUGGCCUGGUGGUGUCUCUUGCCCUCACACCACAAUUAUCAACACAGAUGGACUUCUGUGACCAAAUGUCAUCCCCAUCACCAACUGAGCAAUCGAUUUGGCAGCAGACACCAGCCAGGUGUCCUCUGAUUCAAUUCUGACACUAUUUACCUAGAGAUGGCAUCAGAUCCCACAAGUUGAGGGCUCAGUCUCCAAGAAUGCCCCGGCCACCAGUUCAGACACCAGUCACAAGUCCCAGCUUCCGCAGCUUCUGACUGACUAGCUUCAAGCUAGGGUUCCUGCAACCCCUCUUUGGGUUUGAUUAUUUGCUAGAGUGGUUCACAGAACUCAGUAAAACACUUAGGUUUACCAGUUUACUAUAAAGGACAUCACAACAGAUGCAGAUGAAGAGAUGUGUAGGGCUGAAGUGGCGUUGUCUGGGGUGAUACCUGAGCUUCAUUGCCUCACGCCAAGGGAAUCAAGGAUGUGAACACACAGGAGUGAGUUUAAGAGUGGAGGUUUAAUAGAGAGAAAGAGAAAACUCUCUCCCCUGCAGAGAGAGAUGGGCUCCCAAGCGGAUCUUCUGGCUUUGUGGUGAAAUGCACAGGGUUUUAUAGAUAAGCUUAAGGAGGCGGUGUCUGAUUUAUGUAGGGCCCAAAAGAUUGGUCGGACCAGAUGUGCCAUUUACAUGAAGAAGCUGGCCACCCCACCCUAAUCUUUAUUAUGCCAAUGGGCUCUCUACCUGGUCAACACCGUGUUGUCUGUUCCUUACUGUACAUGUGGUUGACAAAGAAAAGGGAAGAUGAAGCCUCCAUGUUGAACAUGCCUGGCCACCAGGUAGCCUUUUCUUAUUGGCACAGCUGCUGGCAUUUACCCAUGCAAGCUUCUAGCUUGCUUUUCUAUGUCUGCAGCUUGAUUUUUCAGGCUGCUUUUUGUUGGAAAAGAAAUGAUUUGGGGGGCUGUUUUCAUUAAAAAGGAAGCCUUACCAAGGGCUCUCUUACCCUCACUAACUGCCUAAAUAAUUUAUUUUUAGCUCUUGUGUCAAAGCGAGGUGUGAGGGAAGGAGCUUGGAGCUGCCAUGGCCUCCCAGGAGUCAACCUCCAGGAGCCUCCACGUUCCUCUUGGGUUUCUAGGGAGGCUUCAUUACAUAGGCAUGAUUGCUUAAACCAUUAUCCAUUGGUGGUCAGCUUGACCUUCAUUCAGCCCCUGCCUGCUCCCAGGAGGUUGUGGGGUGUGGCUGAGAGCCCAACCCUCUAAUCAUGCCUUGGUCUUUCCUGUGACCAGCUCCACCCUUAAGCUAUCAGUCAACACUAGCAUACAAAAAGACAGUACUUUGGAGAUUCCAAGGAUUUUAGGAGUUGUAUGCCAGGAAAGGGGACCAAAUAAUAUUUCACAGAAUCACACCUGGCAACAAAAGAUGGCCCAUCCACAGCACUGUUUAGUAUUGUUGGCCAAUGAUUUAAAAAACUGUUAGAAAUAUCAAAAUGGUUAGAAAUAGAAAAUCAGUGCCAUGAAGAAAAGUCAGCAUGGAGACAAAAGAUUUCUCAGCAAGGCAAUCUUUACUUUCUGCAGAAAGGGUGCUCAAUCACAGAUGGAACAAUGGUGAGAGCACACCUGAACAAAGGAAAAGCAGACAUAUUUAUCCCUUAUACAUUUGGGUCGUCCUUACUGCUCUGUCCUGCAUCCAUUGGCUGGAGUGGGACCUCACGGUCUUAAACUGAUAUCCAAUUUGCUAAUAGCCUAAAACUUUCCUAAAUAGGUAAGUGCAGGGAAGAACAAAGGAGAGGAACUUGCUUACAAAAGGUUUAAGGAAGCAAUAAUAUUUCCAAAUAAGGAAGGGGCAUAAGCUAUGAGCUGGAACGUGCCGGUGAGCAUGUCCAACAGUUACAUAGGAUAGGGCUUAACAAAGAGUUAUUAGCACAAAGCAAGAAGGCUUGGAGAAAGUUAGUCUUCAAAAGAAACUAUUAUUUUUAACACUUAUGAUUUAUUCUUUAACAAGAAGGGAAACUUUGACGAGGAAACUUUUUACUUUCUACAAUUCCCUCCUCUAUUACUUUAUAGUUUUCCUCUUCAAACUUGCUUAACAUGUCUUGGCUUAGUUGUUUUGAUUAACUCCUGGAUGUAUGGGUACAACACAACACUGAAGAAGAAGGAGUAUACUUAUUAUAGUUGUUAAAGAGGUAAGAAUUGAGGCUACAUUUUUUUUUCUUUUUUCUUUUUCUUCUUUUUCUGGUUGAUGAAAUGCCAGAGUAAAAGGGAUAGCCAAUUGAACUACAGCAUAAGUACUGCUCUAAUUAUUUGGCAGAGUGUCCAGUAAAGGUCCUCCAUAAUACCACCUUACAUCCACUCAGGGAUGAAUAAGGGCGGACUGAUGGGUCAGCUCUUGAAAGUGCCUGACUUCACUGCAUCCUGUUAAGUCUCCAAGGAAUGCCAAAUUUUUCCCCUUGUCAUUGGAGACACGAGGUAAAAUUGGUCUUGGAAGAUGGAGGCUGGAUGGUCCUUGGGGGCUGACCCACAGGGUGUUGAAUUUCAGGGGAAAUAGCAGAGAAAGAGCUUGGCACAAUUCGUUAUUCCAGGCGGUGAAAUCUUGAAAAAGAGCUACCACGUACUCCAUGUCCACUUGACCUGAGGACCAUCCUAGUGGAAAGAGGACAACCUGGGCCUCUGGCCUACCAUGCGCACAAGCAUAACAGUCGCAUUUGUUUAAAGUGCGAACGGAAUAUUUAAUCCAUUCUAACCAGGCAUUUACAUCUUUAUACCCUGUUUCAAUGGCUAUGGUUUGCCUUAGGUCUCCUAUUUCUACUACUGAGACCUUGCUUUUGUAAUUUGGCAUGAGGCGAGGCAUACUUUGAUUUCAUAGGUUUGGGAAAGGGACAGUUGUAGGAGGUGGAGGAGGGAGAACGAAGUGCAUCUCAAAGAAGUCUGUAGGAUCCUUUCCAGUGACCUCUGCUCCUAAACCAUAAAAACACUCUAAAGUGGGGUUAGAGUUGCUAGUGGUAGGAAUAGUAAUGGAUAUAAGCACUGGGUAAGGAAAGGAAAGGAAAAGACAGACUAAGCUUUUCUUAGCUUUAAUUUGGUAGGGCUUGAUCCAGGAACAAUGGCCCAUGAUUCUGAUGAUAAUGGCGUUUGCUUGACUCAGGUGUGAUGUGUCCAUCCCCUUUCUGCUGUACAAACAGCAGUCUCAGUGGUUAGCAGCACAAGGUAGGGUCCUUCUCAGGCUGGCUCGAGUUUCCCUUCUUUCCACCCUUUGAAGAGAACGUGAUCCUCAGGCUGGUGCUGGUUUACCGGAAAUUCUAGGGGUAGCACCUGUGCUAAAAGACUUUUAGUUGUGAGGGAAAGGAAAGUGGAAGAUAAAUCAAAUAUAUAAUUUCUGAGGAACUGACCUUUUGUUUUAAAUGUGGGGACAUCGGCAGUGGACUUUAUAGUCCUUCGUGCCUUCGUUCCUUACACAUCUGGCACAUAAACUGUUUCUUCAAUAAUUUUACAUUUGGGAGGCCUAAUUACUUUUAAAUUAUACAAAAUUUCUUGCAUAAAUUCCCUUGUAUAACUUUUCAUGACUAUCACAGACAAUUCUUUGACAUGCCUCAAUUUUCUGACUUGUAAACAUCCCUUUCUUUAAACAACCAGUUAAUUUAUUUUAGGACAAGAAUUUACCAUAUUACAUUCUUUUUACAUAAAUUCUCCCUUUUUUUUUUUUUCCAAAGAUGAUAAUCAUUCUUUUCCAAAGUGAACUUCCUUCAUGUCUGUGGACUAGACUGCCUAAGGGCACAAGAUUAGAAGUUAGGAUAAUACCAGUUACACUGUUAACUUUUAGCAAACUUUACUUUUGUUGAAAACCUUGUAAGUUUGGGAUUUUGAUUGUUCUUUGCUAUUAAUAAGACCUCAUUCAGUCCAAAUUAACUUAGAAUUGGUAUAGAUGACUCCUUCCUGAUUCUGUAAGUACUUUAAGGCUUGGCUGAAAGCAAACAGCUUACACGUUUGAGCAGACCAAUUAUUGGGCAAUUUUCCUAACUCUACUUCUACAAAAGGCCCUAUCACUUACUGAAUACCCAUUGUAGCUUUUUCCCUCAAUCACCCCCGAGGAACCAUCUAUUGUCCUGUACUGAAGGGAGUUCCUCCUAGGUCUGGACCUUUGUAUGGUAAUUAAGAUUUAGAUCCCCUGUUAGAAAACCUGCUGGGUUAAGGGAAUUAUCAGUGGUUAAUGUUAAGUCAUCUUUUUCUAACAGAAUAGCCUCAUACUUUAAGGUUCUUGAGUCAGUAAGCUACCUUUUUGCUUUUUUUUUUUUUUUUUUUUUGACUUAAGAUAGUUUUGAUCUGGUGAGGUGUGCUCACAAUGAGGUUUCCUCUAAAAGUUAUUUUUCUACUUUAUUCUGUUAGCAAAGCUGUUGCCACUACAGAUUGAAUACAUUUGGGCCAUCCGCAGGUUACUGGGUUAAGGGUUUUUUAUUAGGAAGGCUACGUGUUGUCAGUGGCCUCAGUGCUUUCUGGCUAUGCCCUUGUUUACACUGACAACAAGGUGGAAUGGUUGCUUAAAGAGGGUAAAACUAGGACGGGGCAGUUACUAAUAGAUGUUUUAACCUUUCCUUUUUUUUUUUUUCCUUUUUUUUUUUUAUUAUACUUUAAGUUUUAGGGUACAUGUGCACAUUGUGCAGGUUAGUUACAUAUGUAUACAUGUGCCAUGCUGGUGCGCUGCACCCACUAACUCGUCAUCUAGCCUUAGAUAUAUCUCCCAAUGCUAUCCCUCGCCGCUCCCCCCACCCCACCACAGUCCCCAGAGUGUGAUAUUCCCCUUCAUGUGUCCAUGUGAUCUCAUUGUUCAAUUCCCACCUAUGAGUGAGAAUAUGCGGUGUUUGGUUUUUUGUUCUUGCGAUAGUUUACUGAGAAUGAUGAUUUCCAAUUUCAUCCAUGUCCCUACAGAGGACAUGAACUCAUCAUUUUUUAUGGCUGCAUAGUAUUCCAUGGUGUAUAUGUGCCACAUUUUCUUAAUCCAGUCUAUCAUUGUUGGACAUUUGGGUUGCUUCCAAGUCUUUGCUAUUGUGAAUAAUGCCGCAAUAAACAUACGUGUGCAUGUGUCUUUAUAGCAGCAUGAUUUACAGUCAUUUGGGUAUAUACCCAGUAAUGGGAUGGCUGGGUCAAAUGGUAUUUCUAGUUGUAGAUCCCUGAGGAAUCGCCACACUGACUUCCACAAUGGUUGAACUAGUUUACAGUCCCACCAACAGUGUAAAAGUGUUCCUAUUUCUCCACAUCCUCUCCAGCACCUGUUGUUUCCUGACUUUUUAAUGAUUGCCAUUCUAACUGGUGUGAGAUGAUAUCUCAUAGUGGUUUUGAUUUGCAUUUCUCUGAUGGCCAGUGUUGGAUUUCUGGUAAUUGCCAAAUGAAGGGGUUUGGCCAGUCUUAUGUGAGCUUUUUGUAUAAGCGUUCUUUUUUAGGGCAUAAGUGUCUACCCAUAGACUAUAGUAUCCAUCCGACUAAUUCUAAAAUUUUCUAAGCUCUUGCUUAGUCUCUGGCAGGGGCAAGAAUUAAGCUUUCAAUCUGUUCAGGCUCAAUUUUCCAUUUACCUUUGCUAAUUAAAUGACUUGUUCGAAUAUUUGACUAAAUAAGUUUGAAGACUCCAUAAACCCUUGGGGUAAGACUAUUGGUAUUACUACUUUUGAUUGGAGUGACAGUCUUCUCACUUGCAAAUAGGUCCUGGCUGUCCUCUGCUAACAGACAAGCUCAGAAGGCAUCUUUUAAAUCUAUUACCAUAACAACAGGGUGGGUAGUUUGGACUAUCUGAUUAAUAGCUCUAAGAUCUUGCACUAACUGGCUUCCCGCUUCUUUAUGGGCAGUAUUGGAGUGUUACAGGGUCACGGAGGAAACCUUCAAUUAUCAAUUAUAGGUUUGAAAUUUACCCUGGCUUUUAAAGGAAUAGGGUACACUGUUUUCUCUUUAGUACUUCUGUCUCUCUCUUUCUCUCUGACUUCCUCUCCCAGUUUCUCUUUCCUCUCUGCUGGUCUUUCCCUUGCCUCUGCUAGCCACUUAUGCUGCUGUUCUCCCUUCUCCUUCCCGUUCCCCUUCCCCUAAGGGAGCGACCAGCAGGAGUGGAGCUUCCCCUGAGAAGAAGGCAAAAGGGGACUUCUGAGUAUUUUUCUUACUACCGGAGGUUUGUGAGAGGUUCUGAGAGACAGGACUAACUGGAUUUCCUAGACCGACUAAGAAUUCCUAAGCCUGGCUGGGGAAAGUGACCGCACCCACCUGUAAAACACAGGGCUUGUAACUCAGCUCACAUCUGACCAAUCAGGUAGUAAAGAGAGCUCACUAAACCACCAAUUAGGCUAAAAGCAGGAGGUAAAGAAAUAAUCAAUCACGUAUUGCCUGAGAGCACAGGGGGAGGGACAGUGAUUGGGAUAUAAAUACAGGCAUUUGAGCCGGCAGUGGCAACCCACUUUGGGUCCCCUCCUGUUGAAUGGGAGCUCUGUUUUCACUCUAUUAAAUCUUGCAACUGCACACUCUUCUGGUCUGUGUUUGUUCCGGCUUGAGCUGAGCUUUUGCUUGCCAUCCACGCACUGCUAAAUACCGCCAUCGCAGACCCACUGUUGACUUUCACCCCUCCAGAUCUGGCAGAGUCUUGCUGUGUUUCUGAUCCAGCGAGGUGCCCCUUGCCGCUCCCGUUCAGGCUAGAGACUAGCCAUUGUUCCUGCAUGGCUAAGUGCCUGGGUUCAUCCUAAUCGAGCUGAACACUAGUCGCUGGGUUCCACAGUUCUUUUCCGUGACCCAUGGCUUCUAAUAGAGCUAUAACACUCACCGCAUGGCCCAAGGUUCCAUUCCUCAGAAUUCAUGAGGCCAAGAACCCCAGGUCAGAGAACAAAAGGCUUGCUGCCAUCUUGGGAGUGGCCGCCACCAUCUUGGGAGCUCUAAGAACAAAGACCCACCCGUAACAUUUGGUGGCAACUGUACGGGGAUUCUCCAAAGUGUUUGUCUCUUCCAGAAUCAAAACUGUAAAACUACAAAUUGUUCUUCAAAUGGAGCCCCAGAUGCAGUCUAUGACUAAGAUCAACCACAGACCCUUGGACUGGCCUGCUAGCCCAUGCUCCGAUGUUGAUGACAUCGAAGGCACCCCUCCUGAGGAAAUCUGAACUGCGAGACCCCUCCUAUGCCCCAAUUCAGCAGGAAGCAGUUAGAACGGUCAUCGGCCAACUUCCCCAACAGCACUUGGGUUUUCCUGUUGAGAGGGGGGAUUGAGAGACAGGACUAGCUGGAUUUCCUAGGCUGACUAAGAAUUCCUAAGCCUAGCUGGGGAAGGUGACCACACCCACCUUUAAAAUAUAGGGCUUGUAACUCAGCUUACAUCUGACCGAUCAGGUAGUAAAGAGAGCUCACUAAACUACCAAUUAGGCUAAAAGCAGGAGGUAAAGAAAUAGUCAAUCAUCUAUCACCUGAGAGCACAGGGGGAGGGACAGUGAUUGGGAUAUAAACACAGGUAUUUGAGAGGCAGUGGCAACCCCCUUUGGGUCCCCUCCCAUUGAAUGGGAACUCUGUUUUCACUCUAUUAAAUCUUGCAACUGCACA